ensembl:rRNA 5S_rRNA 5S ribosomal RNA
AAGGUGCCACUGCUGACUUAAAGGCCCAAACUUGUCUGAUCUCUGAAGCUAAGCAGGGUCGGGCCUGGUUAGUACUUGGAUGGGAAACCAGCUAGGAAUACUAAGUCAGGUAACCUUU